AACGAACGCUGGCGGCAGGCCUAACACAUGCAAGUCGAACGCUGUAGCAAUACAGAGUGGCAGACGGGUGAGUAACGCGUGGGAACAUACCCUUCGGUUCGGAACAACUCAGGGAAACUUGAGCUAAUACCGGAUACGUGCGAGAGCAGAAAGAUUCAUCGCCGAAGGAUUGGCCCGCGUUCGAUUAGCUUGUUGGUGAGGUAACGGCUCACCAAGGCGACGAUCAGAGCUGGUCUGAGAGGAUGAUCAGCCACACUGGGACUGAGACACGGCCCAGACUCCUACGGGAGGCAGCAGUAGGGAAUCUUGCGCAAUGGGCGAAAGCCUGACGCAGCCAUGCCGCGUGAAUGAUGAAGGUCUUAGGAUUGUAAAAUUCUUUCAGCGGGGACGAUAAUGACGGUACCCGCAGAAGAAGCCCCGGCUAACUUCGUGGCAGCAGCCGCCGUAAC
rnacentral:rRNA from 1 species